UACGAAGGGAGCUAGCGUUGCUCGGAAUCACUGGGCGUAAAGCGCACGUAGGCGGAUUGCUAAGUCAGGGGUGAAAUCCUGGAGCUCAACUCCAGAACUGCCUUUGAUACUGGCGAUCUUGAGUCCGGGAGAGGUGAGUGGAACUGCGAGUGUAGAGGUGAAAUUCGUAGAUAUUCGCAAGAACACCAGUGGCGAAGGCGGCUCACUGGCCCGGUACUGACGCUGAGGUGCGAAAGCGUGGGGAGCAAACAGG
rnacentral:rRNA from 1 species